GGGAGAACAGGAAGGGAACUGCGGGAACUUGCCCACAAGAUAUUUCAUAGACUUAACCGCUGCCCGCUCUCGCUGGUUUCGAACUUUUAAUCAGUAGGUCGCUGGUUCGAAUCCAGCAGGGCUCACCA
rnacentral:tRNA from 1 species